rnacentral:rRNA from 1 species
UACGUAGGGUCCGAGCGUUAAUCGGAAUUACUGGGCGUAAAGAGCGCGCAGGCGGUCGUUCAAGUCGCGUGUGAAAGCCCCCGGCUCAACUGGGGAGGGUCACGCGAUACUGAUCGACUGGAAGGCAGGAGAGGGUAGUGGAAUUCCCGGUGUAGUGGUGAAAUGCGUAGAUAUCGGGAGGAACACCAGUGGCGAAGGCGACUACCUGGCCUGUUCUUGACGCUGAGGCGCGAAAGCUAGGGAGCAACGGG